GACGAACGCUGGCGGCGUGCUUAACACAUGCAAGUCGAACGGAGUGGCGAACGGGGGAGUAACACGUGGGUGAUCUGCCUUGCACUUCGGGAUAAGCUUGGGAAACUGGGUCUAAUACCGGAUAGUGCAAGAUGAGCUCGCGGCCUAUCAGCUUGUUGGUGGGGUAAUGGCCUACCAAGGCGUCGACGGGUAGCCGGCCUGGGAGGGUGUACGGCCACAAUGGGACUGAGAGACGGACCAGACUCCUACGGGAGGCAGCAGUGGGGAAUAUGGCACAAUGAGCGGACGUCUGAUGCAGGGACGCCGCGUGGGGGAUGUAGGCCUUCGGGUUGGAAACUCCUUUCGGCAGGGACGCGGUACCUGUAGAAGAAGCACCGGCUAACUACGUGCCAGCAGCCGCGGUAAUUC
rnacentral:rRNA from 1 species